UAGGGAAUCUUCCACAAUGGACGCAAGUCUGAUGGAGCAACGCCGCGUGAGUGAAGAAGGUCUUCGGAUCGUAAAGCUCUGUUGUUGGUGAAGAAGGAUAGAGGCAGUAACUGGUCUUUAUUUGACGGUAAUCAACCAGAAAGUCACGGCUAACUACGUGCCAGCAGCCGCGGUAAUACGUAGGUGGCAAGCGUUGUCCGGAUUUAUUGGGCGUAAAGCGAGCGCAGGCGGAAUGAUAAGUCUGAUGUGAAAGCCCACGGCUCAACCGUGGAACUGCAUCGGAAACUGUCAUUCUUGAGUGCAGAAGAGGAGAGUGGAACUCCAUGUGUAGCGGUGGAAUGCGUAGAUAUAUGGAAGAG
rnacentral:rRNA from 1 species